GCCUGGUGUGGUGGCACAUGCCUGUAAUCCUAGCAGCUUGGGAGGCUGAGGCAGGAGGAUCUAGAGUUCAAAGCCAGCCUCAGCAAAAGUGAGGCACCAAGCAACUCAGUGGGACCCUGUCUCUA
rnacentral:sRNA from 1 species